CAGUCGCCACGGGAAUACGUAGGGUGCGAGCGUUAAUCGGAAUUACUGGGCGUAAAGCGUGCGCAGGCGGUUUUGUAAGACAGGCGUGAAAUCCCCGGGCUCAACCUGGGAAUGGCGCUUGUGACUGCAAAGCUAGAGUGCGGCAGAGGGGGAUGGAAUUCCGCGUGUAGCAGUGAAAUGCGUAUAUAUGCGGAGGAACACCGAUGGCGAAGGCAAUCCCCUGGGCCUGCACUGACGCUCAUGCACGAAAGCGUGGGGAGCAAACAGGAUUAGAUACCCCCGUAGUCCAUGUCUCUUAUAA
rnacentral:rRNA from 1 species